GGUGGCUCAGUGCUAGAGUGCUUGCCUUGCAAGCAUGAGGCCCUGGGUUUGAUUCCUCAGCACCA
rnacentral:tRNA from 1 species